rnacentral:rRNA from 1 species
UACGUAGGGGGCAAGCGUUAUCCGGAAUUACUGGGUGUAAAGGGUGCGUAGGCGGCCCGGCAAGUUUGAUGUGAAACCCAUAGGCUUAACCUGUGGCAUGCAUCAAAAACUACCGAGCUAGAGUGCAGGAGAGGAAAGCGGAAUUCCUAGUGUAGCGGUGAAAUGCGUAGAUAUUAGGAAGAACACCAGUGGCGAAGGCGGCUUUCUGGACUGCAACUGACGCUGAAGCACGAAAGCGUGGGGAGCAAACAGG